rfam:Myotis davidii contig190116, whole genome shotgun sequence.
GGCGGUUCUCAGGCGAUGCACCCUGGAAUCGGGCUCCCUCCUCUCUGGUUCCAGGUGCAUCACCUGAGAACCGCA